UACGGGGGGGGCAAGCGUUGUUCGGAAUUACUGGGCGUAAAGGGCUCGUAGGUGGCCAACUAAGUCAGGCGUGAAAUCCCUCGGCUUAACCGGGGAACUGCGUCUGAUACUGGAUGGCUUGAGGUUGGGAGAGGGAUGCGGAAUUCCAGGUGUAGCGGUGAAAUGCGUAGAUAUCUGGAGGAACACCGGUGGCGAAGGCGGCAUCCUGGACCAAUUCUGACGCUGAGGAGCGAAAGCCAGGGGAGCAAACGGG
rnacentral:rRNA from 1 species